rnacentral:lncRNA from 1 species
AUAUAUAAUCAUAUAACUCACUUUAUUCAUCUCAUAAUCUCUGCAUUUUGCAAGGAGAUCGAAACUGAGCAAAACAUACGUACACAAAGACAGAGAAAUAAAAUAUAGGGUACAAACAAUAUCAAUAGCUUAGACAACAUGAAGCUACAAAAGAACUUCGCCUCCUGUGGGGCUUAUUAUUUACUCUUUUUUUUCUUCUUCUUUUCUCAUUGCCUCUCGAAAUUGGGAAAAGCCUUUUCUUUUAGCUCAACAUUAUGCUUUUCCUGCAUAAGAAUAUACAUUGUGUGCUUAGGUUCUUAGUAAUAUCAAAAGAAACUGAAAAUUCUGAACAGCUAAUAACUGAUAAAUGAAGCUAAGAAAACAAGAAGCAGAGAGCGCAGUUCUUUAUAUUAUAUUAAUGUUUUGCAUGAACACAGUUAUAUAUGCAAUUUGCUUUGCAUUCUUGACAUAUCAUUUGGAAAAUGUCUUAAUUAAUUUGGCUUAAUUACCUUCAACUUCGUGAUGUUACUUCUUAGUAGUGGUAGGGAGGAGGAGGAGAAGCGUAAAGAUAGGGGUGGUGUGGUGCUGGAGACUUGUAGACUGGAGUUGGUGGUGGAGGUGACUUGUAAACAGGAGUUGGUGGUGGUGGAGACAUAUAAACUGGUGCAGGAUGGUAUGGUGUUGGUGAAGGAUGGUAUGGCUUCACUGGUGGCGGUGGUGACUUGUAAACUGGUGCAGGAUGAUACGGUGUUGGUGAAGGGUGGUAUGGCUUCUUGGGUGGUGGUGGUGACUUGUAAACGGGAGCUGGUGGUGGUGGCGACUUGUAAACUGGUGUGUGUGGAGGGUAGUAUGGCUUCUUGGGUGGUGGUGGUGACUUGUAAACUGGAGUUGGUGGUGGUGGUGACUUGUAAACCGGGGUGUGUGGAGGGUAGUAUGGCUUCUUGGGUGGUGGUGGCGACUUGUAAACUGGAGUUGGUGGUGGUGGAGACUUAUAAACCGGGGUGUGUGGAGGGUAGUAUGGCUUCUUGGGUGGUGGUGGCGACUUGUAAACUGGAGUCGGUGGUGGUGGAGAUUUGUAAACAGGGGUGUGUGGAGGGUAGUAUGGUUUCUUGGGUGGCGGCGGUGACUUGUAAACCGGAGUUGGUGGUGGUGGCGACUUGUAAACUGGGGUGUGUGGAGGGUAGGAUGGCUUCUUGGGUGGUGGUGGUGACUUGUAAACGGGAGUUGGUGGUGGUGGCGACUUGUAAACCGGGGUGUGUGGAGGAUAGUGUGGCUUCUUGGGUGGUGGUGGUGACUUGUAAACUGGAGUUGGUGGUGGUGGAGAUUUAUAAACGGGUGCAGGAUGAUAUGGUGUUGGUGAAGGGUGGUAUGGCUUCUUAGGUGGCGGUGGAGACUUAUAUACAGGGUGGUGGGGUGGUGAUGGAUAGACAUGCACUGGUGGAAGAGGAGACUUGUAGAGGUAUGGUUUCUUAGG